AUAUAUAUUAUAUAUAUAGUAGAACUAUUAUGCUAUCGGAUGUAUAGAGUAUCUAGUGCUUUCGAUUUUUUGGCCCUUAGAUCAGUCCCUUUAAUCAUUUCUAAUCUUUAGAUUAAUACUAUUAUCCUGUGAGGGCCACUCAAUCCUAGAGGUACUAUUCAAUUCUAGAAGAAACCGCAAUCAUUCCAACCAUACAAUUCUUGAUUAAAGAGUCAAAAAAUCGUAAGCAUCAAAUUAUAUAUAUAAUAUAUAUAGGGAGAAAGAGAGAGUAGGGCUAUUAUACUCUUAUGAGUAUAGAACUCUUCGUACUCAUAAGUUGUUUUUAUGAUGGAGCUUCUAAAUCAACGAUUCACACCGUCAAAUAUGAUAUCGAGUAUUUAAAACUUUUAGAAAAUAAAUUCCAUAAUUUUUUGAAAUCAUAAAAAAAUCUAUCAAGUGGGUAUAAAAUGAACGGUCAAAAUUAAACAAUGCCUUAAAAAUGAAUGAUCGGAAACUUCAAUUUAUGAUCGGAGUUAUUGACCUUUAUCUAGAUAGUGAAUAGAAUUUUCUAUCAAAAAUUCAACCGAUUUGAUUCUUUUACACUGUUAAACUAGCAAGUAUCCUCUACUGGCCGUUAAAAAUUAUCAAUUUUAAGAUUUUUUGAUCGUAAGGUAAAUGAUAUCAAAAAAUUAUGAAAUUUAAUUUUUAAAAAUUUUAAAUACUCAAGAUAAUUUUUAACGAUAUGGAUUAUCGAUUCGGAAGCUCUAUUACCGAAAACAACUUAUGAAUACGAAGGUGAUCAUACACAUACUCAUAAAAGAAUAGUGGUCGGACUCUCUCUCUCUCUCUAUAUAUAUAUAUAUAUAUAUAUAUAAAAUCUUUUAUUUUUAUGUUUC
rnacentral:lncRNA from 1 species